UCCGGUUUGUCACCGGCGGUCUCCCUAGAGUCCCCACCAUUACGUGCUGGCAACUAAGGACAAGGGUUGCGCUCGUUACGGGACUUAACCCAACAUCUCACGACACGAGCUGACGACAGUCAUGCAGCACCUGUCACUGGGUUCCCGAAGGCACAGUCCUGUCUCCAGGACCUUCCCAGGAUGUCAAGGGCAGGUAAGGUUCUUCGCGUUGUAUCGAAUUAAAUUACAUGUUCCACCGCUUGUGUGGGCCCCCGUCAAUUCCUUUGAGUUUUAAUCUUGCGACCGUACUUUCCAGGCGGUCAACUUAUCGCGUUAGCUGCGCCACUAAGGGCCAAACGUUUCCAACGGUUAGUUGACAUCGUUUACGGCGUGGACUAU
rnacentral:misc_RNA from 1 species